UCGUUGGUUAUGAGGAUCGUCUGCCAUAUAUGAUACAGAAUAUAGAUGAACUAAUGAUGAUACAACUAAAA